rnacentral:RNase_P_RNA from 1 species
AGGGCAGGGUGCCGGAUAACGUCCGGCGGAGGCGACUCCAGGGAAAGUGCAACAGAAAUAUACCGCCGCAUUUUUUGCGGUAAGGAUGGAAAGGCGAGGUAAGAGCUCACCGGCGGCCUGGCGACUUGUCCGCCCUGUAAACCCCACCCGGUGCAAGAUUGGAAUGAGAGCAUUUAAUGGCGGCCCGUCACGCUCUUGAUAAUCGCAUGAGCCUGCCGGCAACGACAGGCCUAGAUAGAUGGUCACCCAAGGACGAAAGUCCCGGACAGAACUCGGCUUACGGCUUG